UACGGAGGGUGCAAGCGUUAAUCGGAAUUACUGGGCGUAAAGGGUUCGUAGGUGGUCAAUUAAGUUAUUUGUAAAAUCCCUGGGCUUAACCUGGGCAGGUCAGAUAAUACUGGUAGACUCGAGUAUGGGAGAGGGUAGUGGAAUUUCCGGUGUAGCGGUGAAAUGCGUAGAGAUCGGAAGGAACACCAGUGGCGAAGGCGGCUACCUGGCCUAAUACUGACACUGAGGAACGAAAGCGUGGGGAGCAAACAGG
rnacentral:rRNA from 1 species